rnacentral:rRNA from 1 species
UACCAGCACCCCGAGUGGUCUGGACGAUUAUUGGGCCUAAAGCAUCCGUAGCCGGUUCUACAAGUCUUCCGUUAAAUCCACCUGCUUAACAGAUGGGCUGCGGAGGAUACUAUAGAGCUAGGAGGCGGGAGAGGCAAGCGGUACUUAGUGGGUAGGGGUAAAAUCCGUUGAUCCAUUGAAGACCACCAGUGGCGAAGGCGGCUUGCCAGAACGCAAUCGACGGUGAGGGAUGAAAGCUGGGGGAGCAAACCGG